rnacentral:lncRNA from 1 species
UACACAGAAUAUCACGAAUUUACAUGAAGCUUUAGCAUAAAUAGCGGAAAACAACCACUUAGAAGGGUUAGGCCAUACCUGAACCAUACAUUGUAUUUCAUGUUCAGACAUUCGAAGCUCCUCUAUAGUGAUUAAAAUAGUAUUCCAUAAAACAACUAACCCGCUUGAAAGGCCAUUAGCUGGAACUUGGGAUAGAUUGGUGAACUGAAAAUCGUCUCUAAGUAUGGUGUGAUCCUGCAUGUGAGUUUCUAGAAGGACAGCCAAAACAUGCCUACAAGUAUCAAGUAAAGAGCUGAACUGAUGCCUAAACUCCGCAUUAUGCGAUCAUCUGAAAUUCUAAAUGAUUAUGUUCAUAAUUGAUAGAUUGGGUAUUUGGGUUAGUCCACAACAAGCGAAUUAAGAACUGGAAGAUGGUCCACUCCUUGGGCUUCCUGGUGCAGAGCAAUAUGAGGGGUUGUUCCGCAAAGCGUCAGAAUUAUAACCAUGGCAUACUUCUCUGCCUUGCGAUUGCCAUUGGUUUGAAAAUUGAGACUGCAUUUUUCUAGACCGAGGGGAUAUUUGAGGAUGAAUUUUUUUGCAUACUGUUCUUUGAGAAUGUACAGAUAGAUACCUUUUAAAAAGAAACUCGUUCCUUGUUUCCCUUAUUUUUGCCGUUAUCUCCUACCUCUCAAUGUAUUUCCUUAUCGAGUGUUUUGGAGGUGGAGGUGGAGUGCGUGGUGGACUCUGUGGGGGGUUAGGGGAUCGUAGGGGCUGGUCGGGUACGGUAAAGGUAUGGCAGGGUUGAAGGCGUUGAUUUUGCUGGAACCAUGGUGCAUAUAUCGGUCCUGAGUAGUGUGGUGGGUAGAAAGGGAGCAAAUUUAUGGGUUGGUGCAUUUGGUGAGUGGAUGGAUGCAUGUGGUAGCUCCAUUGGGGAGUCGAGAGGAGAAGGGGCGGUUGUGAUCGACAAGAAGUGGGGUUUGAGUCAUUUACCACUGGCUCUGGCCAUAGGCGUCCAUUCCUAGGUGCAUCCCCUUGGUGACUAUCUCCGCUAGGUGGGUUAGAUUGUGGACUAGGAGGGCCACUUCCUGAUUGUUGAGUUCUAUAGUGAAGGUCAGUGCAUAACCCUAUAAGUCCAUCUCCAGCUAUGACUGGAGGGGUUGGUCCUCUGAAAAGAUUGAGAGGUGUAGACUAUUGGUGCCUUAGGGCGGGGGUUGCGUGAUUGGUUCAUGGUUAGACGAGGUAGAUGAAAGCACCAAUUAUUGUUUCUGAUAGUUUCUCUUAGGUAAGUAUGCCCGUGAUUGUGUAAAAGAGAGGGGUGUUGCAUGUUCUAAGCUAGUCGAUGAUAGAAGCAGGGUAUUAUGAUGAGAGAUUAGGAUUGAGGAAGUGGGUUCACUUAAGAUAGUGGCCGCUGAAGUCAGUUUUGUGAUUGUUGAAAAGGGGAUGGCUAGACUUGUAGACGUAUGGUUGAUAUUUCUGAGAAGAGAAUCACAUAGGUGUAAAUCAUGAUGUUCUUGUAGAGAAGGAAUUGGGUUGUGGAAUGAAGGUGUUGUAUGGGUGGUUAAUGGUGGAGAUGUAGCAUGCAAAGUUGCGGUGCUGAAGUCUGAAGAGAUCAAUAAGGAAGAGAGGGUGUCUGCAGGAAUUGUUGAGGUGGCGUCAUUUAUGGAUGGGGCCU